UACGGGGGGGGCAAGCGUUGUUCGGAAUUACUGGGCGUAAAGGGCCAGUAGGCGGCCAACUAAGUCGGAUGUGAAAUCCCCAGGCUUAACCUGGGAACUGCAUCUGAUACUGGAUGGCUUGAAUUCGGGAGAGGGAUGCAGAAUUCCAGGUGUAGCGGUGAAAUGCGUAGAUAUCUGGAGGAAUACCGGUGGCGAAGGCGGCAUCCUGGACCGACAUUGACGCUGAACGGCGAAAGCUAGGGGAGCAAACGGG
rnacentral:rRNA from 1 species